UGCACUUUUCCAGUCCAGGCCAACAUCAGUUUUCCCCGGGGGAUAAAGGCGGCGGGAAUGUGGCUCUCUUCCGGGAGUGUUAUAGCCCACCGUGUAAUACCCUGGGGGGGACUGAGGUUCGCGCAUCUGCAAGGAUGCUGGCGUAAUGGUCAUCAACGACCCGUCUUGAAACACGGACCAAGGAGUCAACA
rnacentral:rRNA from 1 species